ACGGGAGGCAGCAGUGGGGAAUAUUGGGCAAUGGGCGAAAGCCUGACCCAGCAACGCCGCGUGAAGGAAGAAGGUCUUCGGAUUGUAAACUUCUUUUAUGAGGGACGAAGGACGUGACGGUACCUCAUGAAUAAGCCACGGCUAACUACGUGCCAGCAGCCGCGGUAAUACGUAGGUGGCAAGCGUUAUCCGGAUUUACUGGGUGUAAAGGGCGCGUAGGCGGGGAUGCAAGUCAGAUGUGAAAUCUAUGGGCUUAACUCAUAAACUGCAUUUGGAACUGUGUCUCUUGAGUGCUGGAGAGGUAGAUGGAAUUCCUAGUGUAGCGGUGAAAUGCGUAGAUAUUAGGAGGAACACCAGUGGCGAAGGCGGCCUGCUGGACGACAACUGACGCUGAGGCGCGAAAGCGUGGGGAGCAAACGGGAUUAGAUACCCUGGUA
rnacentral:rRNA from 1 species